AGUAGGACAUCGUCAUCAGAGAUUAGAGAUUGGAUUAUUGUACUAGUGUUGAAUGUCCAAACUGAAGUAGCUAACUAGCUAUUAUGUUAUGGUAAGAAUGAUUUAAGGCCUUUUAAUGAUAUCCACCUAUAAUCCGCCAACACAUUUGAGAAUACAGUACAACCCCAAUCGACGUGUGAGCCUGCUUUGAGAAGGUUCUGGAAGAGGUGACCCGCUACACCCCUCGCUACAUGGAGGAGAUGGAGUCUAUCUUUGACGAAUCACAGGAGGAGGAUAGGAAGAGGAUCAGCAAUGACCAGCAAUGGACGUCACAAACAAUGAGAGUUAGGCUACACCUGCAGUCAGACUGUUACUAGGAGAGGGUGUAUGCAGUCAGAUUGUUACUAGGAGGGUGUAUGCAGUCAGAUUGUUACUAGGAGGGUGUGUGUGGAUGUGGGUGGUCUUUCUUUAUCUCAUCUCUCACUGAUCAUUUCUGUCAUGCCCUGAUCUCUCAUUCCCCCUCUCUCUCCCUCCCCUUUGUAUCUUUCUCUCUCCCAGUGUGAAAGUUCUCCGUCACUGUGUUUUUGAGAUCAGUGUAGACCCGGAGACCUUUAACCCCUGAACACUGUUCGUUUUUUAGACCAGUGUUGACUCAGGGAGGCUGGGUUGGAGACAGAAAAGAAGCAUGUCUGUUCUACGAAAUAUAUUCCCAAAUAAAACACUUUCGAAAGCA